UGCAUACAUGUGUGAUGUGUGGUGGCCAUGUAAGCAUAGUUUAAAUAUGAAAAAUACAACCUUUUGAGUUCAGAAACAAUUCUAAAAAGAUAAUAGAAAUCUCAACAGGACUUUUGGAGUUUUUUCAUGUUUACUUGCAGGUGCAGGAGUGGCUGUGUGGUAAAUAGCUUGCUUACCAACCACAUGGUUCCGGGUU